GACAGAGGAUGCAAGCGUUAUCCGGAAUGAUUGGGCGUAAAGCGUCUGUAGGUGGCUUUUUAAGUCUGCCGUCAAAUCCCAGGGCUUAACCCUGGACAGGCGGUGGAAACUACCAAGCUGGAGUACGGUAGGGGCAGGGGGAAUUUCCGGUGGAGCGGUGAAAUGCGUAGAGAUCGGAAAGAACACCAACAGCGAAAGCACUCUGCUGGGCCGACACUGACACUGAGAGACGAAAGCUAGGGGAGCGAAUGGG
rnacentral:rRNA from 1 species